AGGGAAUAUUGCACAAUGGGGGAAACCCUGAUGCAGCAAUGCCGCGUGAGUGAAGAAGGCCUUUGGGUCGUAAAGCUCUUUCGAUUGGGAAGCAGGGUCAUACGGUUAAUACCCGUGUGAUUUGACGGUACCUAAAGAAGAAGCACCGGCUAAUUUCGUGCCAGCAGCCGCGGUAAUACGAAAGGUGCAAGCGUUGUUCGGAAUUAUUGGGCGUAAAGCGCACGUAGGCGGGCAAGUAUGUCGAUUGUGAAAUCCCCGGGCUCAACCUGGGAAUUGCAGUCGAAACUGCUUGUCUUGAAUACCUGAGAGGGUGGGGGAAUUCCUGGUGGAGAAGUGAAAUUCGUAGAGAUCAGGAGGAACAUCGGAGGCGAAGGCGCCUACCUGGCAGAGUAUUGACGCUGAGGUGCGAAAGCGUGGGUAGCAAAC
rnacentral:rRNA from 1 species